UGGGGAAUAUUGGACAAUGGGCGAAAGCCUGAUCCAGCCAUGCCGCGUGUGUGAAGAAGGUCUUCGGAUUGUAAAGCACUUUAAGUAGGGAGGAAGGGCAGUAAGCGAAUACCUUGCUGUUUUGACGUUACCGACAGAAUAAGCACCGGCUAACUCUGUGCCAGCAGCCGAGGUAAUACAGAGGGUGCAAGCGUUAAUCGGAAUUACGGGGCGUAAAGCGCGCGUAGGUGGUUCGUUAAGUUGAAUGUGAAAGCCCCGGGCUCAACCUGGGAACUGCAUCCAAAACUGGCGAGCUAGAGUAGGGCAGAGGGUGGUGGAAUUUCCUGUGUAGCGGUGAAAUGCGUAGAUAUAGGAAGGAACACCAGUGGCGAAGGCGACCACCUGGGCUCAUACUGACACUGAGGUGCGAAAGCGUGGGGAGCAAACAGG
rnacentral:rRNA from 1 species